CCCAUUUCUCCUCCCUUUGCCACUAAUCCCCAACCCCCCUCUCUUGAAGAACAGGGAAGGGGAGACAAGGAUGGAGGAGGAAGAUGACUGAUUCUUCAUCUCCAUCAUCUGAAUAAUUUCCAUGAUAUAAGCAUGGAGCAAGAACUUCACUCUGCUAAGAUGUGGAAUGAUCUGAGAUUAAAGUUUGUGCCCUACUUUUAAACUUCAAUGGUGGAAUUCAAGUUCAGAAGGUAAACCUUUAGCUCUCAACCCAUAUUUUUUUCUUAAGCAAAAAUAACAAAGAUGCAAAUGUCUGACUGCUUGGAGCUCCUACUUUCUUAACCUUUUUUUCCCUUUAGUUUUGUGAUUAGUUUGUUUUUCCAGUGUUGUGUAUGCAAGUUUGAAGAUUUUGCCUUCGAUAACUAACUUUCCUCAGUGGAUGAAUGGUAAGCUUUAUGGAUCUGAAAAGUACUUUUAUUUUGACUGAUGAAGAUAAUAUCUAGGUGGGUUUCUUUAAAUUUGUGGGAUUUCUGGUGAAGAAUUUAUCUUUAAGGCUAUACAUAAUGGCUCUUGUGGAAUAUAGCAGAAAACUGCUCUAUCCUCUGAGCUUGUUCCUGUGUCUGGUAAAUAUUUGAUACAUUUUAGUUGGUUUAACUCCCUAGCUGUCAUUUCAGUGGCAGUGUCACGUUAAAAUUGUCAAUAUUAGAAGCCAAACUGCUACUUCUCCAUCUAAUUGGUACUUAUUCUAGUAGUUUUUAUAACUUUUCAGGAUUUUGACUGCAUUUAUUUUAGUACUAAUCAUCUCAUUGAGAUAUAUAACUACAUCAUCAGGCUACAUGUCAUUUGGUUUGAUUUUGGUGGUGAUGAACUAUCAUGCAAACACUGAUCACGUGGGAGGAUGGCCAUGGUGCUUGCGCUGUAAUUUAUUGCACAAGGUAGACUUGGGGUAGUCAUUGGGUAGAUAUUAACUUCAGAUGAGAACAGUUUUUGUGUUAGCUAUCCUCUGACAUUUUUCUUCCCUGGGAUCCUGGAGAGUUCUUUAAAGUAUCAUUGUUUAGUCGAAAAUGAAUUGUUUUUGCAUGGUUUUCAUUUGUUUGUUUUGAUUUUCCUCUGUGUUUAGGAAGUGAUUUAAUUGAUUAUAUGCCUCGGAUUAAACUUUUUACCUCUUUCUAUUCAACAUAUUUGAAACUGUGAUCAAGGCACCUCCCCUUGGAUUAAAGCACCAUAGAAGUUUUCUUUCUUUCUUUGUAUUUUUCCUGGCUGUUUGGGUUCUUUCUGACGUGCUGCCUUUGCAUUAGUGAUUGAGACAAUAAAAAUACACGCAACGGAUAAACACUGCUUAAUCAUUGGAAGAAGUAAAAUUUUGAAAUUAUGGUUGAAUAAAGAUAGAAGAUUGUUUCUUGAGGGCUCCUGAUCAAAUGGGAUGAGACGUGAAUUCUCUCCACUUUUAAGGUUUUUCAUUGCCUUUAGUGAUUUAAUCAAUUUCUUUUCUCCUGAGAUCUUUAGCUUCUUCUGUCUCUGUCGAGUGACCAAGAAAAAUGGACACCUGCAAAAAGACUAUCCAGAAGCUUAGUAAGUGGGAGUUAUCGUCAGAUUCAGGUUUUUUUUUGCUUUUGGUUCCUUUGCACUGGACUAUUUAAUUUUUUUUUUAGGUAUCUUCUAUGCAGUUGUAUGUUGACUGUUGACUCACAAAAGGCAAUCUAUGAGAUGUCUCAAAUACUAACUAGGAGCAGUGAAAGUAUGAAAGGGAAGUGGUGGUAAUUCUGCUAGAGGCCUUAAGAAUCAAUUGCUUUACUUGUAAAAGCUUCAUUUUAGCAGCAAGAGAAUAUGACUGCUACCACAUUGGGUAAGGAUAGCUUGAGACCUGGUGAAGAGGAAGAUGAUGACGAUGAUGCUGCUCAAGAAAAGGCAAGGCAGCGGGAUGACCAUGUGAUGCUGUCCUUGGUUUCUUUGUGAACUAACAAGCUACUUUUUUUAGCAAGUCUGAUUGUAAUUGAGCAUGUCUAACAAAUUUGUCCAUUCUCUUGUACAUAAAACGAGAUUAUUUACAUCUGGAUGGAGAUUCUUGUAAUGUUAGUCUUGUAUUUUAAAGAUCAAUAGAUGAGCCUCAGUUUCCUUUUGUUUAUUCA